rnacentral:miRNA from 1 species
UCCCUCCUCCUUCCUCUCUCUCCGCAGGUGCCGGCUGCCCCGAGCUCUCUGUGCCACGGACGGCUGGGGUUCCUGGGGAUGGGAUUUGCUGUCGGUCACAAAUCACAUUGCCAGGGAUUUCCAACUGACCGUGAGCCCUACCUCCU